CACGUAGGGUGCGAGCGUUGUCCGGAAUUAUUGGGCGUAAAGAGCUCGUAGGCGGUGUGUCGCGUCGGCCGUGAAAACCUGCAGCUUAACUGUGGGCUUGCGGUCGAUACGGGCAUCACUGGAGUUCGGCAGGGGAGACUGGAAUUCCUGGUGUAGCGGUGAAAUUCGUAGAUAUCGGGAGGAACACCGGUGGCGAAGGCGGCGACCUGGGUAGAUACUGACGCUGAGGCGCGAAAGCGUGGGGAGCAAACAGG
rnacentral:rRNA from 1 species